GGGCGGGGCCGAGGGCCGAACCCGCCCGCCGCCCCGCCCAGACACGUGCUGCCUUUGUUCCCGCCGCGGCGCCCGCAGCCGCGGGCCGCGGGGGCGCUCUCGGCCGCGUCCCCGCCCUGGCGACGCGCGGCCCGCCCGGACUGAGGUUGCCGCACGAGAAGCCAUCCACAGAGGCUGGCCGGGACUCCGAGAUCCCUUUUUCCAUUAACAUCCUCGCCACCCGGGAAAGAUGCUGGGGCGCCGGGGGAGGAGAAGCCUUUGCUGAAGCCACUCGCAUCCCGAUGGGCUGUCCCAUCGACUUUCGUGCCUCCCCCUCCGGGUCCUCUGUUCCCGCACUCCAGCAAUUUCCCCACUCCCAAGUCGGGCCAGUAAAGAUUACAUGAAAACUGGCACACCUAUUGGCUGGAAUACAGAUGCACCAAAUGAGGAUUUAAAAACUUUCCGAGCGAAAAGUAGAACAAAAAGAAAAAAGAAUCUCCUAGCAUUUUCCCCAAAGGUUUCACUCUCCCGCCACACACACUCUCCAAAGGACCGCUACAGAUCCAACUCUGCAAGAGAAGACAGAGCAGUGUCAAUCGGGGAAGCUGUGAGGCCACCGGGAGGCUUUCAGUCUCGACAGGCAGAAGACAGCGCUGCCCGGGCCUGGGUCCCGGAGCCAGCACUCACCUAUGUCAGUUUCUUGGCUUUGUUGUAGAGGGAAUCCACUACUUUACUCAUGUUCUGAAUUGUUUCCAGAGCAGCUUCAUAAGUUUUAUCUACUGGGGGUUCAUCGAAAAUAAUCAAGACACCCUCCCCCUGGUCCAAGAUCCCUGCAGGAAACACAAGGGCAACCCAGGUAAAAGAACGGAUUAGACACAAAAGCACUUGAGAAGCAGCCCACUCCCUAGCUGCCUCCCUUUCUCCAGAAAGGAGGAGAACCAGAAAGCAUCUCCAUGUUCCAUGUGCACAUGUCUAUUACACAUUCUCUUAUGGGGAUAAGAGGGGCAAGGAUCCCAGGGAGCCACCAGGUGAAACAAAUGGAACAUCUCCUUUCAAGAUAAACAAGAGCGUGAUGCCUCAUCCGCAUCCCCACCGCCAGCAGCCCCCUCGCCUAUAUGACUUACUCACCAUGAAAUUUCUUGUCAAGAAUCAUCUGUGAUAAUUUCCUUUCCACGUCGGCCUAAAAUCAAAGCACAUGAUGAAAGGGACUGGUAUCCACUAGUGGAAGAUCACACGGGCAUGAAAGUUUUGUAUAAAAGGGCAAAUGGAUCGAAAACAAAACGGCAACAAUGCAACUCGAGCUCUGAGCUCGUGGUCUCCUUACCACAUGAAGAAGCUUGAGGACCUCCAACCAGGCCCAUCCAGUGUAAAUGCCAGCACCUCCAUGUGCCCCUCUCCCCGUCCCCACCCCCAAGACAAGCUCAGGACUGCUUACCUUGGAGAGUUUGAUGAGGCUAGAUAUGUGUUCAAUCUAAAAGAAAAGGCAGAGAGCGACACCGAGAGUCAUGCUUCUGCCUCUAACAUGGAGGUAGAGUGGGGGUGGGAUUGCUGUGUCUCCUGAAACCUGGCCCAGCAUCUCUCUGGGACGGACUGUCUCUGGUCAUGCUUAGGUCUCUCGUGCUCUGUCCGUCUGCCUGCCUCUCAUUGCCAGACAACACACACUCCUACCCCACAUGCCCCUACAGGAGUAUCUACCACAGGCACGGUGACUACAGAAGCAAGGAGGGGACUGCUCUCAGAUUACAAGCAGAGGCCAUCUCCCCGGCCUCCACCCCACAGCACCUCCACAAGAAAAGCUCAAGCCUCUAGCCCUCCAGACACAGCCCUGGAAGCAAGUUCCUAUUGUGGAUAGGUGUGGGAAGGGAGGGAGCUAGAGAGAACACUUAGCCAGAGAAGAACCAGGGUCCCCCGCAGGGUCCUUACCUGAACUCGGGAAAAAGGCUCAAUGACCCGGAUCAGAUUCUGUUCCAGCAAGUUGUCAUACAACUUGGCCAAGUGUGUACUGAUGAUUGGGUCAUCCCGGAGCUCUGCCCGGUAAUCUGUCAGGGCCUGCCAAGAGAGCCGGUCACAGAGAUUGGCACACAGAAGCACCUGAAAGGCACACUACUCCUAGCUUCCUAAGUAGUCUGCUGGACUUUGUAAAUCCAUGGUUGACUGAAGUUAUGGAGGAUCUGAGAUGAAAGACCAGUUAUGACAGAAAGUAGAAGAAAAGAAACAUCAAGAACUAAAAGACGGAGCCCCUUCUCGGCACCAUCUUUCUAUAGGAAAGUCUCACGUUGACAGCUCGCUCAAACCACGUAAGCCCCAAGAACAGCUCAGCUUGAAAGCCAAAUCAACUAUACAAGCAGUUCUCAAGAUGUAUCCACAGAGUAAAUAGGGUCUCCGUGAAAAAAAAGGAAAAAAGUUUUUUGAGGUAAACAACGGGAAAUGCAUUCCACAAGUGGCUCUUGGAGUUUUACAAGAACAUCAGCAUACAGUUCUGCAGUUAACAGAAAGCAAAGCAUCUAAUUUUGUUUAGCCCUAGGGUUUCCCAGACCCUUUCCCAAGGAACACCUACUAACAGAAGUGUCCCAUCAAACAUCCCAAACUUUAAAAUAAAAUGAUCUAUUGUUUAUUCAUGAAUGUAAUUUAUCUACCCUGAGAAAUGGUCUCAAUAUCCAGCCUCAUGCCAGCUGUGCUAUAAGGUGUUAAGCAAGCAAAUCAUGACAAGUAAGGAAGUGAAUGAAACCAGCAAGAAAGCUCUGCAAAGAUGAUGAAUCUUGGGGGACACCCACAGCCAAAUGGUCUAGCCUCUGUCCACACUACGUUUUUCUUCCUAGAUCUAGGUUUGUUUUUAUUAGGUUGGUCAAUAUACUCAGACUAAGAGGAGAGAGGCUCAGAAGAGAACAGAUAAGUCUCACACUACUGCUCAGGCAAGUUCUCCCUUUUCAAACCUUCACUAACAAUGAGUGGAAGGCAGAGGAGACAAAGACAGCCUGAAGAGUGAACUGAGGAAGUGUGUUCCAGUCCACUAGCAUACAUCAAGACUUCUCCUUUGCCGACAGACGAGAAGCAGAGCUGACAUUUCUGGAGCUGAAGGAAACCCUGAGACCGUGGAAUGUGGAACAAGUGCCAAGCCUGGCAUCGAACCCUGACAUGUGAGCUGUGGGGCUUCGGGCCUUCUCGCUGAACCCCAGCUCCCUCAACUAUAAAACGCAGGUAAGAGGUUGUUGUGAAAAAUUAAGUAGAAAAGGAUGACAGAAACAAAUGUUUGAAACUGAAAGUUACUAUAUAUAAAUGAGGUAUUACAACUCAACAAGUUUCAGUGUACAAAAGUGCUCAACUCUUUCCAGGUUUUGAUACUGUACUAUAAUUAAGAUGUAACCAUCGGGAAACUGGGUGAAUGGUACACGGGAUCACUGUGUACUAUCUUUGAAACUUCUUGUGAAACUAUUAUUUACAAACAAAAAGGUUUUUUUAAGUAUGUAAAUGACCCUCUCCUCCACCCAAUUCCCUACCAACCCGAUACCAUGCUUACCUUUUCAAAAUCUGCCAGUGAUCUGUUCUUGCUAGCCUGAGCCACACAUUUUAAUGCUUCUGUCUAAGAGUAAAGAGAAAAGCAGUGAAAGUGAUCUCUUCUGCAUUCAGACCUCAUCCACUAAAUGUCACAAGCAGUCCGCUAUGUCCACGCAACUUUUGGAUGCGAGGAAGAACCUGCCCCACCACUGGUUUUCAGAGGCCUGGGAAGAAAAGCUAGAAAAUGACGAGAGAACUAUGAUCUCUUUACCCCUCCUCCAAGGCUCUUUAUGCCCAAGCCCCCAGACUCUUUUUGCCCUUAGACCUGAUCAUCAUACCUGUGCUUCAUCAACUCUCAUUCUCCCAGGUUUGGUACAGAGCACGAGCCAAGGUCUAUUUUCAUUAGGGUUGAGACACCAGAAUUCUACAUAUUACACUCAACGUUAAAAUGCCACAGAGGGAUGAAGGUACAAUCAGUGGCUGAGAGCAACUUCUAACCUGGUUAAUAAAAGGCACUUCACCAAGCUAUCAAGUCUCCACUCAGCAAGACAUCUACAAUCUUUCUGGGAGACUGUUCUGACUCCUGCUUGAAAGUGGUCAUCAAGGUACAAAGGACCAGAAGGACCUCCUCUCGUACCAGCCUAUGCACUUACAUAAGGACGCUAUGUGUUACACAGCAGACUUUGAAAUGGUGCAAAACUAAUCAUUAGUCUGUCUCAGCAUUUAUGCCAGACAGAACAGAUGUCACAAUUAGAAACGCCUGGAAAUGAGAGCCAGAUAACCCAAGUUCAAAGUCUGGCUCCACCAUUUACUACUUACCUGACCCUGUCCUGGACACUUGAGACCUCUCUUAGCCCAUUUCCUGAACUCUAGUUCCAUACGACUAUUCCUGUGGUCAAAACUACGAGGGGAUCUGAAACUUUUUUGGAUGAAAAGCCAUUUAGGACCACUUGUAGAGAAGGACAGUUUCUUCCAUCUGUUAGGGCCAUUCCUCCAAGGACAUAAUAAGAUUGUUAAUGGGUCUAUUGUUCAGAGACAACUGCAUUUGAAAUCCAGAAAGAUUACUUCUACUUGACUAGUGAUAAUCAAGCCAAGUACAAAGAAGGGAUGGUCCAGACUUCUGAGACCACCUUUACACAGGUCAUACUCAUACCUACUCAGGCACAAAAGGGGCUCCUCCUGACUAGCAAAGGCCUCUUGCACCACACACACUGAGGACAUGAAUUGGAAAGGUACUGAGCAACACUUGGAUGAGCCACCAAAACCUAGUUUCUGCACCAAGCACUUCAACCUCCCUAAAGCACAUGUGCACCAGACCUUGCCAGGCUCCAGAUUCUUGGAGAACCCAAGAUUUCAUAGUCUGCACAUAUUAAGUUAACAAAUCAGGCUCAAGAUAGAUAAAUUUUUUGGUCAAAGCAAAAUGCAGCCAAACCUGUGCAAAUGCUAUGGUUCAGUUCUUAUAACUCCCUCAAACCACCUGAUGUCCAUAAGAGCACCAAGCACAGACUCUCCAGGCCAAGAAUUUAACAGUACAGGAAACACACUGCAUGGCCUUAAGGGAAAGGGGUGGCAGGGGGCGAGGGGGAUCACAUGGAGAAUAUAGAAUGGAGACCUGAAGAGCACUGGUCUCACUGUGCAUCAUGACUGACAAUGUGCUGGCCUCAGAGUGAGAAGAGGAUCAGAACUGCAGUCAAAGUAUUCCCUACCUGCCUCCCUGCAUACCGAAGCGCAAGUUUCCCGCUCACCAAAGCCUGGACAUCUUCUGGGCUAGAAAAAAAAAGACAAACUUGGUCAACUGCUCCAGGAUGUUAGGGUUCUAAGUAUAGGUUGAGGCAAAUUUGUCUCAGAAUUCCACGGAGAAGACCGCCCAUAGAGGUUAACAGUCCCCACACCCAAACCCACAGGCCCCUCACCUCACAGAAGGCAGGCUUUCUUCACUCUCUGCCUAAGCCCAGCACUUGAGAGCAGAAAAACUCCAGCAUUAAAAAGAAAGCAGCACUGAACGUCCCAAAAGUAGUAGACCCGACAGACAGAAUAAUGUCGGUCAAUAUCUCAUUACUCCCAAAGGAAUGUUGAUAAAUUCUGUAGAAUUCCUUAUGAAAAGAUCUGUCAUACUUGCUGUUGUCCCCUUUCUCAAACCUCUCCCUAACCUCUUCCUUAACCCACCCCCAUUCUGGGUGGCCCACCUGGCCAGUGCUGGACUGUAAGCUAAUUUCCAGGCCCACUGUCUGGUGCUCAGCAACUCUCUGGUCAUAAUAAUUGCAGGAUGAUGAGAACACUCUAAGAGAGUCUGGAAAGGAGAUUUCUAAAAUCUGUCUCCCUGAUUCUCAAAGACUAGCAAGGAACUGUGCUCUGGAACACCUUCAAUCCCCCCACUCUAUGUCAACCAGCCCCAGAGGUGGCCACUUCUGCUUCUGUAACCAGCCCAACUCCCUGUGCAAGCCAUCUGUAUGGCCAAAAA